rnacentral:rRNA from 1 species
UACGUAGGGUGCGAGCGUUGUCCGGAAUUAUUGGGCGUAAAGGGCUCGUAGGCGGUCUGUUGCGUCAGGAGUGAAAACUCGGGGCUUAACCCCGAGCCUGCUUCUGAUACGGGCAGACUAGAGGUAUGCAGGGGAGAACGGAAUUCCUGGUGUAGCGGUGAAAUGCGCAGAUAUCAGGAGGAACACCGGUGGCGAAGGCGGGUCUCUGGCCGAUACUGACACUGAGGCGCGAAAGCGUGGGGAGCGAACAGG